rnacentral:rRNA from 1 species
UACGAAGGGGGCUAGCGUUGUUCGGAAUUACUGGGCGUAAAGCGCACGUAGGCGGAUCUUUAAGUCAGGGGUGAAAUCCCGAGGCUCAACCUCGGAACUGCCUUUGAUACUGGGGAUAUCGAGUCCGGGAGAGGUGAGUGGAACUGCGAGUGUAGAGGUGAAAUUCGUAGAUAUUCGCAAGAACACCAGUGGCGAAGGCGGCUCACUGGCCCGAUACUGACGCUGAGGUGCGAAAGCGUGGGGAGCAAACAGG